ACCUAAACAGCUUAGACCACUCUUACCACCAGUGCCGCCUCAGAUCACCUUGACUCUCCAGGUUUGGGAUACCCACAGAUCUAGCCUGAGCUCUUUGGGCCCAUUCUCCCUGGCUACCCCCAUCGAAGCCCUCCCAUACUGCAUCCCCAUCUUCCACAACAAACCUUAGCAGGCUGAUAAAUUGAUGCACUUAUACCACAUAUACGUAAGGGGGAAGCUGAUAGACUUCCAAACCCUACAAACAACCCAUGGUCUACCAGACACCUCACAAUUCUCCUACCUACAAUUAAGAUCCUUCCUAACCCGAAGGCGACUUCUUGCCUCUCCGCCACACAAUACUGAACACCCACUCACUACAUGGGAAGAUAUGUAUCAACAAAACGCUCCCACCUCUGUGUAAGCCUAUCUCCAUGUGUUACAAGGCUAUAUUAGACUACCUCCCAUUCCACAAAUCUCCACCCGCCCGGCAAUGGACUGCAGAUUUGAGAACCGAAGUCUCCCAAAAACAAUGGGGUCACCUGUUUGCCACGACCAAAUCCCUAAUUAAGUCUGCUACCCUACUGGAACAGCAGCGGAAACUGAUUUACAGAUAGUAUAUGGUGCCAACGUGCAUCCACAAG